rnacentral:rRNA from 1 species
GUAAAAGUCGUAACAAGGUUUCCGUAGGUGAACCUGCGGAAGGAUCAUUAUUGAAAUAAACCUGAUGGGUUGUUGCUGGCUCUCUAGGGAGCAUGUGCACGCUUGUCAUCUUUAUAUCUCCACCUGUGCACUUUUUGUAGACCUGGAUAAUCUUUCUGAACGCACUUGCAUUUCAGGUUUGAGGAAUUGACUUCAUGUCUCUCCUUACAUUUCCAGGCCUAUGUUUCUUCAUAUACCCCUAUGUAUGUUUCAGAAUGUAACAGGAUGGGCCUUUUGUGCCUAUAAAUUUAUACAACUUUCAGCAACGGAUCUCUUGGCUCUCGCAUCGAUGAAGAACGCAGCGAAAUGCGAUAAGUAAUGUGAAUUGCAGAAUUCAGUGAAUCAUCGAAUCUUUGAACGCACCUUGCGCUCCUUGGUAUUCCGAGGAGCAUGCCUGUUUGAGUGUCAUUAAUAUAUCAACCUCUUCAGCUUAUGCUUGUUGAGUGUUGGAUGUGGGGGGUGCUUUUUUGCUGGCGUCUUAUGAAGUCAGCUCCCCUGAAAUGCAUUAGCGGAACAAUGUGUUGACUGUUCAUUGGUGUGAUAAAAUAUCUACGCUAUUGACGUCAGUCAGUUCAGCUUCUAACAGUCCAUUGACUUGGACAAAUUUUUCAUUAAUGUGACCUCAAAUCAGGUAGGACUACCCGCUGAACUUAAGCAUAUCAAUAAGCGGAGGAAAAGAAACUAACAAGGAUUCCCCUAGUAACUGCGAGUGAAGCGGGAAAAGCUCAAAUUUAAAAU